UCGUCUUUUGCCAUUGCUCGGUCAGUUCAUCUAGAGGACUGAUCUUGAGCCGGAUACCCUCACUUCGGUGUGUGAGUAUAAGACAAGAAGAAACUAUGGCAACGCUUUUUGAGUACGAAACCUUCAGUGACUUCACCAAAUGGAGGCUUUUGUAAUUUAUCUGUUGUUACAUUU
rnacentral:snoRNA from 1 species